GGGCGGUUAGCUCAGCGGUAGAGCACUGCUUUCACACGGCAGGGGUCACAGGUUCAAACCCUGUACCGCCCACCA
rnacentral:tRNA from 4 species